CCACAGUCAACUGUGGCAAACAGAAAACUGUCCUCAUUGCCAACUCAGAGAUAGUACAAAAGAAACACCAAAGGUUUUUCAUUGUUUAGAAAUCUUGGCCCUAACUGGAAUUAAUCUAGCAACAGAUGUCAAAGCCCAGAUUCUUGCUUAACUGAGACCAAGUGGUUCAACGUAAGGAAAAGUCAGUUCCCGGUUACAUUUGACUUCUAUUCUGUCCACCAUAUUUUGGUCAACUGUCUUAUUGACACAGGAGCUAUUCAAGGACAUUGGUGCAAGCUCUCAUCAAACUUCAUCCUUGAAAAGAGAACCCAGAGGAAGGAAGAAAGUGAACAAUCACUUAGGAAGCAG
rnacentral:lncRNA from 1 species